UAUUCUCUUAUCCUACUUAUUCGUUAUUGGCACUGUGAAAACAAUAGUUCCAAAUGCAUUAAUCUUCCUGCACUCUCUUUUUAAGUAUUCAUUUUGGAGUAUGUAAUACAUUUAUCUUUCAGUCCCAUGGCUCUAAUCUGAAGAGUAUUGAAAUCAAUGGAACAACUUGUCGGGCAUUCAGGGGAUAGUGGAAAUACGUUAAAAGAAUGUUGGGACGCAUUCAAGUUGAAGAUAUUUCUUACAAGAAUAAUGUCAAACAAAUUUUCUGAUUGCUGGGUAUUGUUUCUCCUGGAACAUGAUGGAUUCCUCCCAGAGUGACUUCCCACUCGGGCUCACAAGCAUACUUCAAAAAAGCAAGGUUGUGGAAGUUCUUUUCCUUUGGAGAGAACAGCCUGCUCUCUACAGAGCGUUCACCUUUCAUCCUGCCUCGAAGCAGCAGAAGGACCACAAUGAAUCAUUCGCAACACAGGGAAGCCAAAACUUUCAUAGGUCAAUGCGGAAAGGAAUGAAGAGUUUAAUUCCUGAUAAUCGUGUAUCAAAUGGCAUGCUACUCCGUCUCCUCGACCUUUAGAGCAUUCUGUAAUUGGAUUAAGUGGCAAUUGUUGUUGUCCCCUUGUGCAGCCUCAGCAGCCUGCGAGGAGGGAGAAUGGCCAGUCGAUGAAAACGCAGCAUUUUAAAAGGUGUGUUUAUACUGCUAAUUGAAGGCUGUCUCCCAGGCUUCAGCUGGUGGCAUCACCAAUGAGAGGAAGGCUCCUGCUAAGGUAGCUAAGUUUGUGGUGAAGACUCAUGGGUUGCUGGGAGCCGGGCUGGACUUGGAGGCAAAACACACUGAAAACCUAAACCCAGAAGUGACUCCAAG